ACGAGAUUCUUUUAAGGGGGGUAGGUUUAUAACACUCCAAAUUUUUGAAUUUUAAAUUUAGUUUAAAUUUGAUUUAAUUUUGGCUCAAUUUGAAUUUUUGGGAAUUAUUAAAUAAUUUACAAAAUUAAAUAAAAUUAAAUAUAAGGUAGAAACAUGUUUAAGUUUGCAUUCAUGCUGCAGCAUGAUUUUUGCUUGAUUUUAUUUAUUUGUUUGUGCCUUUAUUUGAAUUUCGGAGCAAUAAUUAAAUAGGGGAAAUCUGUUUAAAAAAAAAAGAAAAAAAAAGGGGCAAGCGCCCUCUCUGGGCCGGCUUCUCUCCCCAGCCCAGCAGCCGCGCCCCCCCCUCUCCCCGCUUCGGCCCAAGCCGCGGCCCAGC
rnacentral:lncRNA from 1 species